GUGGAAGGUUGUUGGGGUUCUGGUGAGCAUAGUAGGUUUGGUAGUUCUGCAGUCAGCUUUCGUAUCUUGCUGAGUGAUUUGGGGUGGUUAUUAGUUCUGGUACAGCCUUGGGCCUUACAGAAAAAAGAGAGUCUUGGUAUGAAUUCUAAUCUCAAUUCUUGCGGUGAACAACAAAAUGAAUUAGAAUGCUAUCUCCGUCCUUAAACGAAGAUAUUAUUGCAUCUUGACUUUCUCGGAAGGCCUAUAAUGAAGCGAUGCUGGGAUGCUAAUCAUGACAGAAUGCCUGAAAUUGAUGAGGUUGUCACUAUGAUAGAAGCUAUUGACACAUCAAUAGGUGGAGGAAUGAUUCCUGGUGAUUAGCCUCAAGGCUGCUUCUGCUUCCGUAGCCACCGAGGUCCAUGAAAGCACUACAAUUGCAUUUUUAAACAUAAGGACACAAGGUAGUUUGAGGAUAACGAAGGUAUUAAAAAGAGAUGGUUUUCAUAGCCGAGACGAUUCGGAGGAUGUUGGGUACAGACCAUGGAGCUAUGCUACAUAUCUUUACGAUUGGGUACUUGAAUACACAUAGUCUGCUUCUUUGACAGGUGGAUUGUGGUGCUGAUGUUAUUGUCACGCAACUUUUCCAUGAUACUGAUAGUUUCCUCAAAUUUGUGAAUGAUUGUCGACAAAUUGGGAUAACUAUUCUC